rnacentral:rRNA from 1 species
GGCGGACGGGUGAGCAAUGCUUGGGAAUCUGCCCAUCAGUGGGGGACAACCCGGGGAAACUCGGGCUAAUACCGCAUACGCUGAGGGAAAGCAGCGCUGAUGGAUGAGCCCAAGUCGGAUUAGCUAGUUGGUGAGGUAAAGGCUCACCAAGGCGACGAUCCGUAGCUGGUCUGAGAGGACGACCAGCCAGGCCGGAACUGAGACACGGUCCGGACUCCUACGGGAGGCAGCCGUGGGGAAUAUUGGACAAUGGGGGCAACCCUGAUCCAGCGACGCCGCGUGGGUGAAGAAGGCCUGCGGGUUGUAAAGCCCUUUCGUUGGGGAAGAAUGACGUUACCCAAAGAAGAAGCACCGGCUAACUCUGUGCCAGCAGCCGCGGUCAUACAGAGGGUGCGAGCGUCAAUCGGAAUUACUGGGCGUCAAGCGCACGUAGAUGGCCUUGUCAGUCGGAUGUGAAAUCCCCGGGC